AGCUAGUGUCAUAUUUCCAUGUUUUAUACUCACUCAAUAUAUUGAAGAGGUGGAUCCACAGCACAACGGUAAUAAUACAUCAAGUAUGAUAAGUGUACAAGUUUCUUCCAGCGCAGACAUGAUAAAAUAUGGCAGGCUUCGGAGUGGAAGGGAUGUGAGGAAAAGAGCGACCCGCAGCUGAAGCGCCUUUCUCCAUGUGUAUUGCUGAGAGCAAGGAUUUGUAAAGCUUUCUCAUCUGCUGGAGUAGACUCCGCCAUGAAGUUUUAACUAUGAUCUGGGCGCAGAGGAUGAAUGAAGAGGACGCCAGGCUGCCAUCCACUCAUACUGCGCCUAAUGCAAGCUGGCAAUUCAAUUAUUUGCAGAGGAAUAUUUUAAGUAAGGUCUUCCAUCCGUGCCACACAGUGUAUUAACCCAGCAGCCCUCACAAGCCUGCCCCAGCACCCACACACCUAUCCAAUUACCGUAGUGUCCAAAUCUAUGAAACCCUGAGCACAGCCACCUAUUUGUCAGAGCUGUGUGCACCAAGUGCAGUGCCAUGUCCAGGUGCGGUUUUUCUACCAUGCGUUUGAUUUCUUUUCUCAUAGUUGAAAUCAGUGCCGUGGAUUUUCCGUGUUGCAUAUACCUAACAGUAUUCUGGUAAUUAUUAUUUUUGCUGAUAUUUUCCUCUGAUGCAUUGCGGGCUGUCAGAGGAAGAGACAAUAGGUGACGAUCAGAUUCCUUUGGUUUUACAACUG